rnacentral:pre_miRNA from 1 species
UUCUUGCAGCUUUCCAAAAAAUUAGCCCUUUGUGGUGAAAUUUUCCAUGCUUGGUUUCAGCCCAAAGGUGAUUUUUUUCCCUCAAACUUUGAGA